rnacentral:lncRNA from 1 species
CUAGCUUAAGAGCUUCUUGAAUCACCAAGGUAGAAUAUUGACAUGUGAAGAAAAUGUGCUCAAAGGUUUCAUUUUGCCUUUGACAAAGAGGGCAAAUGGCAGACCUGGUAGAAAGAUAUUAGCUGAUUACAUUAUAAGUGGGCAAUCUUCUUUGGAGUGCAAGCCAUAAAAUAAAAGAGUACCUCGGCACCUGUAAUUUAUGUCAUAGCAACUUAUGUCAGAGAUCAUGGGUUCCGUGAUGUCGAAUACUAACCUAGAU